AUAGAGUCAAGUGAAUAAGUGCAUCAGGCGGAUGCCUUGGCGAUGAUAGGCGACGAAGGACGUGUAAGCCUGCGAAAAGCGCGGGGGAGCUGGCAAUAAAGCUAUGAUUCCGCGAUGUCCGAAUGGGGAAACCCACUGCAUUCUGUGCAGUAUCCUAAGUUGAAUACAUAGGCUUAGAGAAGCGAACCCGGAGAACUGAACCAUCUAAGUACCCGGAGGAAAAGAAAUCAACCGAGAUUCCGCAAGUAGUGGCGAGCGAACGCGGAGGAGCCUGUACGUAAUAACUGUCGAGAUAGAAGAACAAGCUGGGAAGCUUGACCAUAGCGGGUGACAGUCCCGUAUUCGAAAUCUCAACAGCGGUACUAAGCGUACGAAAAGUAGGGCGGGACACGUGAAAUCCUGUCUGAAUAUGGGGGGACCAUCCUCCAAGGCUAAAUACUCAUCAUCGACCGAUAGUGAACCAGUACCGUGAGGGAAAGGCGAAAAGAACCCCGGGAGGGGAGUGAAACAGAACCUGAAACCUGAUGCAUACAAACAGUGGGAGCGCCCUAGUGGUGUGACUGCGUACCUUUUGUAUAAUGGGUCAACGACUUACAUUCAGUAGCGAGCUUAACCGGAUAGGGGAGGCGUAGGGAAACCGAGUCUUAAUAGGGCGAUGAGUUGCUGGGUGUAGACCCGAAACCGAGUGAUCUAUCCAUGGUCAGGUUGAAGGUGCCGUAACAGGUACUGGAGGACCGAACCCACGCAUGUUGCAAAAUGCGGGGAUGAGCUGUGGGUAGGGGUGAAAGGCUAAACAAACUCGGAGAUAGCUGGUUCUCCCCGAAAACUAUUUAGGUAGUGCCUCGAGCAAGACACUGAUGGGGGUAAAGCACUGUUAUGGCUAGGGGGUUAUUGCAACUUACCAACCCAUGGCAAACUCAGAAUACCAUCAAGUGGUUCCUCGGGAGACAGACAGCGGGUGCUAACGUCCGUUGUCAAGAGGGAAACAACCCAGACCGCCGGCUAAGGUCCCAAAUGAUAGAUUAAGUGGUAAACGAAGUGGGAAGGCACAGACAGCCAGGAUGUUGGCUUAGAAGCAGCCAUCAUUUAAAGAAAGCGUAAUAGCUCACUGGUCGAGUCGUCCUGCGCGGAAGAUGUAACGGGGCUCAAAUCUAUAACCGAAGCUGCGGAUGCCGGUUUACCGGCAUGGUAGGGGAGCGUUCUGUAGGCUGAUGAAGGUGCAUUGUAAAGUGUGCUGGAGGUAUCAGAAGUGCGAAUGUUGACAUGAGUAGCGAUAAAGCGGGUGAAAAGCCCGCUCGCCGAAAGCCCAAGGUUUCCUACGCAACGUUCAUCGGCGUAGGGUAAGUCGGCCCCUAAGGCGAGGCAGAAAUGCGUAGUCGAUGGGAAACAGGUUAAUAUUCCUGUACUUGAUUCAAAUGCGAUGUGGGGACGGAGAAGGUUAGGUUGGCAAGCUGUUGGAAUAGCUUGUUUAAGCCGGUAGGUGGAAGACUUAGGCAAAUCCGGGUUUUCUUAACACCGAGAAGUGAUGACGAGUGUCUACGGACACGAAGCAACCGAUACCACGCUUCCAGGAAAAGCCACUAAGCUUCAGUUUGAAUCGAACCGUACCGCAAACCGACACAGGUGGGCAGGAUGAGAAUUCUAAGGCGCUUGAGAGAACUCGGGAGAAGGAACUCGGCAAAUUGAUACCGUAACUUCGGGAGAAGGUAUGCCCUCUAAGGUUAAGGACUUGCUCCGUAAGCCCCGGAGGGUCGCAGAGAAUAGGUGGCUGCGACUGUUUAUUAAAAACACAGCACUCUGCCAACACGAAAGUGGACGUAUAGGGUGUGACGCCUGCCCGGUGCCGGAAGGUUAAUUGAAGAUGUGCAAGCAUCGGAUCGAAGCCCCGGUAAACGGCGGCCGUAACUAUAACGGUCCUAAGGUAGCGAAAUUCCUUGUCGGGUAAGUUCCGACCCGCACGAAUGGCGUAACGAUGGCCACACUGUCUCCUCCCGAGACUCAGCGAAGUUGAAGUGGUUGUGAAGAUGCAAUCUACCCGCUGCUAGACGGAAAGACCCCGUGAACCUUUACUGUAGCUUUGCAUUGGACUUUGAAGUCACUUGUGUAGGAUAGGUGGGAGGCUUGGAAGCAGAGACGCCAGUCUCUGUGGAGUCGUCCUUGAAAUACCACCCUGGUGUCUUUGAGGUUCUAACCCAGACCCGUCAUCCGGGUCGGGGACCGUGCAUGGUAGGCAGUUUGACUGGGGCGGUCUCCUCCCAAAGCGUAACGGAGGAGUUCGAAGGUUACCUAGGUCCGGUCGGAAAUCGGACUGAUAGUGCAAUGGCAAAAGGUAGCUUAACUGCGAGACCGACAAGUCGGGCAGGUGCGAAAGCAGGACAUAGUGAUCCGGUGGUUCUGUAUGGAAGGGCCAUCGCUCAACGGAUAAAAGGUACUCCGGGGAUAACAGGCUGAUUCCGCCCAAGAGUUCAUAUCGACGGCGGAGUUUGGCACCUCGAUGUCGGCUCAUCACAUCCUGGGGCUGUAGUCGGUCCCAAGGGUAUGGCUGUUCGCCAUUUAAAGUGGUACGUGAGCUGGGUUUAAAACGUCGUGAGACAGUUUGGUCCCUAUCUGCAGUGGGCGUUGGAAGUUUGACGGGGGCUGCUCCUAGUACGAGAGGACCGGAGUGGACGAACCUCUGGUGUACCGGUUGUAACGCCAGUUGCAUAGCCGGGUAGCUAAGUUCGGAAGAGAUAAGCGCUGAAAGCAUCUAAGCGCGAAACUCGCCUGAAGAUGAGACUUCCCUUGCGGUUUAACCGCACUAAAGGGUUGUUCGAGACCAGGACGUUGAUAGGUGGGGUGUGGAAGCGCGGUAACGCGUGAAGCUAACCCAUACUAAUUGCCCGUGAGGCUUGACUCUAU
rnacentral:rRNA from 2 species